rnacentral:rRNA from 1 species
UACGUAGGCAGCGAGCGUUGUUCGGAAUUACUGGGCGUAAAGCGUGCGCAGGCGGUUUUGUAAGUUUGUCGUGAAAUCCCCGGGCUCAACCUGGGAAUGGCGAUGAAGACUGCAAGGCUAGAAUCUGGCAGAGGGGGGUAGAAUUCCGACGUGAUGAGCAGUGAAAUGCGUAGAGAUGUGGAGGAACACCGAUGGCGCAAGGCAGCCCCCUGGGAUCGAGAUUGACGCUCAUG